CUCGCUCGGCCCCGCGCGGGCAGUGGACUCGGCGGCUCCGCUUGGCUCCGUCAGCGCAGCCGGCGGCGCCUGUUGGGCGCGAGGAAGGGACCAGCGUCCGCCCGCUGACGUCAGAGUCCCUGUGGGGGGGCGAACGGGGGCGGCCACCCCCGGGCCCAGGAGCCUGGGCCGCUGUGUAACGCUCCCGGGCUGGGGCGGGGGCCGGAGCCGGGGGCGGGCGCUGCUGACAGGGCGGGACCGACCCACCCAGCAAAACUCCGCCCGGGCCCGUGCAGCCCGUGCCGCGGCCGGACUAAAACCGCCGCGGGCUCCCAGCUCCGGUCGCAGGCGGCUGCUCGGGGCCGGGCCCCGUCGGAGUGAGGCCGGGGGCGCCCUCGGGCAGCAGUUAGGCUCCUGGGUGGAGUGAGACAGUUGAAACAACAGGGGCCCCGGCCGGGCUGGCCCGCGCUCGCGCGCGCGCGGCGAGGGUGCCACCGGGGGGGGGCUGGUUAUAAAUGGCUCGGAGCGGCGGGGAGCGAAGACGUCGAUUGUUCCAGAAGUGUUUGAAUAUGGAUUACAAAUGGUGAUGGAUUAAAAUCACUGUCAUAUACCAUUUUCUUCAUACUUGCGAAAUGCAGAGACUUCGUCUUCAUAUGUGACAUCCACAAGAUCAGUUUUGCUUUGAAUGAUUUUACAGAACCUAUCAUUUGAGCCACAUGUUUGUCUUUUCCCUAGAGCUCAAGAUUUAAAAUGUUCAAUUUGUCAGUGAUGUCAGCAAGAAAAGCCAAGUCCAUUAACCAGCUGGAGUCUUCUAGUUGCUCGAAGUUCUGAUUUGUGGACUACAGAAAUUCUUUGAUCCCUUCAAUUAGGCUUAACGUACAAGAACUUUACCUUUUCUCAGCCAUCAUACUUGUGUGCAAGAUCAGAUCAGAUUGUUUAUCAUCAAUAUCUUCGAACGGGGCCUUAAAAAGUCGGUGUUGCAAAGGUUUCGCUUGAAUCGAGAGUUAAUUAUUUUAAUAAUGGCAUUCAUGACGAGUUGAAAAGAAAGAUCUUUGAUGCACAAAGCUUCUUGGUGGAUAAUGUAAUGAUAAGACAAAGUUCAAAAAGGAUUCAUUCUUCUUGCAGAGUGUAAUGAAUCCAUUGGCGCUGCCCAUCAUUGCUGGUGGCCCAUCAGUGGUGACAGCUUGUGUAGUGGCAUACUAAUUGAUGUUGCAUAUGAUUUGAAUAAAUUAUAGAUGUGUUCACCCUUUGUUCACCCUUUCAUAGGCAAUACUUUUAGUAACUCUUCUUUUAUGGUGAAGUCACUAAAUACCAUCCUCACCAUAACUGCCAACUGCGCUGUAUCCAAUAUAUCUGUCGACUCAUCGAACUGCAGUGAAAACCAGUCACAUAUUUCCAAGUCAUCCUUUUGCUGAGUUUUCAUGUCGCUUGAAAUUACAUGUAUCCUCCUGUUUGAUAACUGCAAGUCUUGUAUUGCCGACAAAAUCUCACGCUUGUUACGAAAUCCUUGAAACAGGCUAGCAACACCAGUCAAAAAUGCUUCCUUCAACAAUUCAAUAUCUUGAAAGGGUUUUUUCUUCUUUGCAAGCAGAGCAAUUUGCAAUUUUAAAGAAAGCAAUAGUAGCACUUUUAGACUUUACCACUUGUCUAGUGAAAACAGAUUGCUGGGCAGAUAGGUUUGAUUAGAGUUGAUUAAUUCUCUUCUCUCUCAACUCAGAUUUAAGUGGAUGGCUAAUGUCAAAAGAGCCAUGAUUAGUUUGGAAAUGGCAUUUGACAUUAAGUUUUUUCAGCACUGCAACACUACCACUGCACAAUAAGCAAACAUUUCCCUUUAUUUUCAAUAAAACAAUAGAAUUCUUCCCACUCUGUGUGGAAAUAAUUUGUACGUUGUCCUUUAGUUGAACAACUCAUUUUGGGGCAAAAUGUUCAAAAAAUAAUAAAUUGCAAAGCACAAGAAAACAGAAGUAUCAGUGCAGCGGAAGAAUACUCACAUACAGGGCCAGCUCCAGAUAUCAGCAGAGCAAGCACGUGCCUGGGGCAGCACAUGCGACAGGGCGGCAGAGUCCAAGCGGGGUGUGGUUUUGUUUUUUUGUUUGGUUUUUUUUUUUUUGCGGGGGCAGUUCUGGGCAGCAUGGAGAGAAGCUGCGGCCCCACACCUGCCGGGGACAGAGAACACGGGUGACUGCAGCCUGCAGCCCCAGAGUUCUCUGUCCCCGGCAGACACAGGGCCGCGGCUUCUCUCCCCUGCUAGGCACUAGGUGGGCGCACAUAAAUGCCCUGGCAGGCACGAGGGGGCAUUUAUAUGGGGACCACUGUAGUAACUCUUUGUAUGACCUAUGGAAUCUUUGUAUGCAGUGUUGUUAUAGCCAUGUUGGUCCCAGGAUAUUAGAGAGAAGUUGGGUGAGGUAACACAUUUUAUUGGACCAACCUUAGUGAAAGCUCAAAAACUUGUCUCUGUCACCUACAGGUGUUGGUUCAAUAAAAGAGAUUACCUCCCCCACCUGGAACUAUGGGAAAUGCCUCAGUCUGCUUUUGCCAAAUCAGAAAUUGUUAAAAGAUAGCCCUAAGGAAGGUCAAGUCUACACAAUCACUCUAUGAUUAAAAGGUAUUGAAAGUUUCAAUAGACACUGAAGAUGACCAUAUAAUGGAUAGAUAUGCUUCAUAGUUCUAGGUUAAGGGAUCCUAGUUGAGGCUGUUUGUGUGAAGUUAACUGCACUUUUACAUACUUUAAAAAAAAAAAAAGUGGAGAAGGUGUUGUAAAAUAGAAUCAUAGUUCAGGAUUUAUAGAUUUUUCUAAAAUGCAUGUGUUUUGAAAAAACUAGAAAAUUCUAUUAAGACUUCUUUUCUAACCCAGUGCAAAAAAGCAGCAAAAUAGUGUUAGCCAGUGCAUUUAGAUUAUGUUUACAUACACCACAUGAAUAGCUAUUUAUUAUAUAAAUACCAUAUACAUGUGUGUGUUGGGUAAUUAUGCUAAGUUGUACACUGCUUAUUUUUGCUCAUUUAUGCUUCAGCAUAUAUCCCAUGAUGCCCUGCCCUUAAGCACUUGGCUUAAGCAAAUACAAAAACUGUCAAAAGCUAGAUGUACGAGCGUUAUGAAACAAAGGUACAAUGUAGUACAAGGAAAUAAUGAAAGAUUUAUGAAUGCUUUGUAUUAGGGAGUAUCUUCAUGCCCCUUAACAUUUGGUAUUUAAUAUUCAAACGAAAGAUGGGAAAGUACAAGGAGGCACCAAAGACAAAGCUGGCUUGUUAAACUUUAAGUACUCUGAUACUUGUAAACAGCCAUGCUAUAAAAGAUGGCCAGUUUAAGGGAGCAUUUAGGAAGCACAUUCUCUGUAUAAGACAAACUGAACACACUGCGAGACUUCAGUUCCUGGGCAGGAUUGGUGAUGUAUUAACUUUUUCAUGUACCGUAGUGUGUUAUCUUUAGAUAAUAAAUUUGGCUGAGUUUGGUUA